GUUCAUCUGUGACAUUAAGAGCAAAGCCGUUUGUUCGGUAAGAAGCAGAGCAGGACGUGAUUCACGGGGUCCCUCGGGUCAUGCUGUGUGCCGCAGGCACCAGGGACUUGUCUUCAGCCGGAAGCGACUCUUGUCGAAAGGGGUUUAAUACUUCGUGCCCAUUGCUGGCUUCCACAGACGGCUUCAGUAGCUUCAGAAGGCGGACCCAGGCACAGAGAGCCCAGGUAAGAAUCCCACACCCCGCCUCCCCUCAAGAAGCUCAGCUCUCUUAACACAGCCUCCUGGUAUAUGGUACCAGGAUCCCUCGGUGACAAUGGUCUCUAUAUGAUGACUUGUUUUGAGAAUUUCGAAACUGCUCAUGGGCAGCUCAGGUUAAAACAACUCUUCCACUUAAUCAACUCUAUAAUAGACGUUGAUUGUUAAUGGGGUGGAUUACAUUAACAGACUUUCAUAUGUUGAACCAUCCCUGCAUCCCUGGGAUGAAGCCUACUUGAUCAUGGUGG